AAUCCACGAUUUAGAAACUUUCUGAUAAAAGAUUUGUAUCUCUCCCAUGCUUCACAUGAGGGCUCAUCAAUUCCUUGUGCAAAAGUUGAAAUUGUUGAGUUA